GGCAGCAUGGUCUAGUGGUUUGAGCAUUGGACUACAACUCUCAAGGCCAGGUUUCAAUUCCCAGCUCAGCCA